AUGGGGGUGGAGGAGAGCCCUUUUCCGGCAGUGUCGGGGCCUCGUGACCCAGGGCCCUCUCCCUGCUCCUCCUCUCCUCACUCUGCUUGGUUCCUCUUUUUACACCAGCCCCACCCCCGAAGGGGGCACUGGAGGGAGGGCAGGUUUUACAGUCGGCCCUUGGGGGUCCGGCGUCCUGGGCCCCCAGGCCUGCUGUCCACACCCCCUUUUCAGGCCCAGGAGGAUGAGAGGAAGUGCCACAGCUGGGAGGGACUUCCUCGGGUGCCAGAGCUGACGAACUUCACAAUAGGUGUCCCCAGCGCAUCCCCACAGGAUGCAGAUCCUCUAGGCCACAGGAGCACACAGCCCCAGCUUGGUGGUCUCUGGCCCUCAUCCCACAUCGCAGGCCACUUUGGGGGUGGAGGGGACAGUGGCGAUAAAGAAGCGUUGGGGCCCUCCUCCCACCUGGGCCGGUCAGGCUUUGCCUCGCGUGCCUCUAUCUGGGGAACAGCCGGAGCCACCACCCUCCCAGGAAUCUGGCGGAGCCCGGGAGCCAGUCCACCAGCGACCGUCUCACGGAUCCAGGGAAGCAAAGAGUUCAUUCAUCUCUAAGCCCAGGAGUUACCUGAUGCCCCUACAAGCGAGGUUCUAGGCUUAGGAUCAUUACGGCUGGGGAUGAAGCACAGAAAAGUGUUUGGGAAGGCCCCACAGCUACCACGUGAGGGUGGGGACUGUGCCCUAAGCCUCUCCGUUAACGUUGCUAACCCUGUCCCGGAGGGGAGGGGAAGCAGCGGGCCUGCCAGCCUGUGUGCUGGCCCUGAGGGGCCGCAGAGCAGGAAGCACCUGGUCUGGGGCGGAUGCACAAGGCGCCUGGUUCCGGUCCGGCUUCCGCCGCCGCGGCCCCGUUGGGAGCUUGGCCAGAGAAACCAGGCGGCGACGCGAGGCAGGGUAGGGGCUGGAUGACUGGCAAGCCGGCCUGCGUCUGUGUGCUGGCCGACGUGGGGGCGGGGGGGCGGGGGGGCAGAGACGGUAAAGGCCCCACGGGCACGAGCACACGGCUGCCGCCCCGUGGCCACCUCGGGAACUGCGGGCCCCAGCAACGGGCGGGGGGCGGGGGGGGGGGGACGACGAGCGCCUCGUGCUGCAGGUGGUCCGCUCCCACUCCCCCCCACAGACAGAACACCCCAGACAGAAACACAGACAGCACUUCAGUCAGGCAGGGACGAACAAACCCCGGAGUGACAGAGCUCCCCCAGGGAGUUAAAAGAGAUGGACAGAGGAAGAAACUCCAGACAGGGCCCCCCAAGGCAGAUGGACAGACAGACCACAGGCAGCCUUCUCAUUUGGACAAAUGACAGUCGAAGG
rnacentral:lncRNA from 1 species